rnacentral:rRNA from 1 species
UACAGAGGGGGCUAGCGUUGUUCGGAAUUACUGGGCGUAAAGCGCGCGUAGGCGGCUUUGUAAGUUAGAGGUGAAAGCCUGGAGCUCAACUUCAGAAUUGCCUUUAAGACUGCAUCGCUUGAAUCCGGGAGAGGUGAGUGGAAUUCCGAGUGUAGAGGUGAAAUUCGUAGAUAUUCGGAAGAACACCAGUGGCGAAGGCGGCUCACUGGACCGGCAUUGACGCUGAGGUGCGAAAGCGUGGGGAGCAAAUAGG